UACGGGGGGGGUAAGCGUUGUUCGGAAUUACUGGGCGUAAAGGGCUCGUAGGCGGCCAACUAAGUCAGACGUGAAAUCCCUCAGCUUAACUGGGGAACUGCGUCUGAUACUGGAUGGCUUGGAUUCGGGAGAGGAAUGCGGAAUUCCAGGUGUAGCGGUGAAAUGCGUAGAUAUCAAGAGGAACACCUGCGGCGAAGGCGGGUUGCUGGGCCGACACUGACGCUGAAGCGCGAAAGCCAGGGGAGCGAACGGG
rnacentral:rRNA from 1 species